GUCAAGAGGAGGGAGACAGGUGCGACACUGCCACAGUGCCCCCUUCAGGUCUGGAGGAGCGAGUCGACGGUGUUGUCCCGGGGGUCCUUCCAGAGAGUCCCAGGACGCAGCGGCUGGAUGGGAGGUGCUGGAGACGCAACCCUGGAGCCGGCUGACACGCCCGCAGCCUACCAAAGCGGGGCGGAGGGGACAGAAACGCCAGGACGCCACCGGAAAGUGUGUGCGAUGGGCAUUUAUGUCUGUUCGCGAGACCCCAUGGGAAGCCUUUGCGUCCGGAGGCUCAAGCCUAGUGUCGAGGAUAGCAGCGGAUGUUCCGCGGAAGGGCGGGGACGGAGAGGCCCCUUCCAGGUCUCAGGGGUACGCAGUGGGCUGGUGUUUAGGGGAAGGGGAAGAGGUCCCAUAAUUACCUGUGCAGGGGUCAGAAAUUUUAACUUGGCUCUCCAGGCACUGCGGUGACAUGGAAGGGUAUCUGGCUUUAAUCACCUUUAUUUAAGUAUAUUUUACAUACAAUCAAACACACUGGUUUUAAACGUACAGCCUGAUGCAUUUUGACAGGCAUGUGUGUACACCCAGCAGUCACAUACCAGUAUGCCCAAUGCCAAAAAGUUCCCUUAUGCUACUUUAUAUUUAACCCCCGCCUCCCGCCCACCCCUGACCCUGGAUGAUCAGCCAUCUAGAGUUGCUUUCUGCAACUCUAGAGUUCUGUCCACUGCCUUUUAUCGGACUGAAGGAAAAUAGGGCAAAUCCAAAGGUAGGGGAGGCCCCUUAGUGUGCUGGUGCCUAGUUACAGGUAUAGGAAUCUUGGAUCUGAGUUAGGGCACUCACCUGGGGCUGGAGAGGAGCUUACAGAUUAGGGAUGGAACUGGUGAGUCCGGUGGGGUAUGCAGGAGAGAGCGGAGGGAUGCCCAAGCCUGGUAGCAGUUGUGGUGCCACUCAUGGGGGCACAGGGCAAAGAAAAGGGAACAGCCUCGAGGGAAGCUGGGGAAGACCGUGCGGGUGGAGCCCUCUGUCUCUAUGGGAAACUCCAACAGAGGUCAGACAUAGGAGUCAUCAGCGGAUAGGGAGGGCAUCGCGGAGCCUUCCUCCAGGGAGGAGGAGACUAACACAGGCCCUGGGAACAGCCACACGAACAAGGGUGAGAGAGAGGCAGACAGAAGUUAUCAGAGGGAUAAAAGGAGGGCAGGAGGGUCUGUGAUGAGAGGGGAGGAGCAGGUUCCAAGGAGGAACCGUCAGUGAUCUCAGGGGGCAGAGAGAUGGGUACACAAUUACAAAGAACUGAAAGGAGUCGGUAGAUUGUGGUCGUUGGUGACCUGGGCCAGAAGAGCCCCACAGUUGGACUGGGAUCUGGGUAGAACUGACGAAAAGAAGCAGGAGGGGCAGAAAAGCAGAGCCAGUUACUUUAUACUCUUCUUGAUAGAGCUCAGUCAGAAACAGAAGAGAUCAGAACACGGCCUGAAGACAAUGUGAGGAACAUUCCUAUGUCACAUGCCUCUCCGGGGCAAGAGCAAGGCUGACCUCGACCCUGUAUCCUAGAGACCAUGGCUUCACGAGCAGGGAUUAUCGUGGUGAGGGGGUUCCUGCACCCUUCUGCUCAGCCCAGCUCUGGUGCCUGAAGACAGACAGCCCAGGAUGAGCAAGAGGCAGUAUUCACGGGACCUGCAGUGUGCCAGGACUCAAGCAGCCUUGUUCACUCGUACCUUCUUGGGGGACGGGAAGUCUCAGCAACACAUCUGGGCGAGAAACCGAUCAGGGGAGAGGAUGCUGCUGAGAAACGGAGAAGCUCCACGCCCAACGGUGGGGCUUGAACUUGCUACCCUGAGAUCAAGAGCAGCCAGCCAAGCAGAAUGAAAACAUCUCACAAAACAACAGGGUAGAAAAGCCUUCCCCCCAACCCUGGGUGUUGAAAGGCAAUGACUGACUGAGCCCUGGGGUUGGGGAAGACCACCCUCAAUGUUAAAUUCUCUGGGGGAAGCUGGGUCAGGCGGGGUCAGACCUGCCCAGGCCCUCUGCUGGCUGCUCUAGAGGUGGAGGCCAAAGGCGGGUCCUCAAGAUCUCCAGGAUCCUGGCUGGUCAGUAGCAUCUGAAAUUGACUGGAAUGAAAUGCAAACCCAAGUAGCUGGGAAGAAAAGGUCAGAAUUUUAGCCCUGUGUGCUCCCCUUGCUGGCCCGAGUCCCAUCACUGCUCAGGUUCCCCUGCACUGCCCAAGGCCCAGAGAAUGGCCCCAUUGUCCGUGAGACAAACAGAAAUAGCAGCAUCUUCUGUUCUCUGCCUUAGGGAGAUUCACUUGAAACCCCGAAGUCCCAGAUGUGGGGGACAAUGGAGGUUGUUGUUGCAAAUUCGGGAGCCUGGAACAGAUGAGAGGCAGUCCUUCCGUCCCGUCAGUCCACACUCUUGAGCGCCUACUGCUACUCACUGCCGUUUUGUGAGGAAUGAGCCUGGAAAAGGCAGCGUCUGGACUCAGGGCUGGCUCUAAUGAGGGAGGAUCUUCGCAUGGGGCUGCAGGAUGCAGGGCACUGAUAACCGAAGCCUUUACCACAGUGAGGGGGACGAAAGAGACAUCCCCCCGCCCCCGCCCCCCGGGGGCAGAGCUCCAGAGGGACAGACUGAGAAGAUAAGCUCAGGCCCAGGAGAAGUUGUGCCUGUCCUGUUCCCUUCCUGGUGCAGAUCUGGGAGCCGUGUCCCUCAGCUCCCUGCUCUCACUCGGGCACACUCUCCCCCGUUCCCAACCCACCCAGCCUUCCUUCCAAUCCCCGCCAAAGAGGAAAGGGAUGAAGUGUGCAAAGGAUGCAGGGGUUGGGCAGCAGGUGCUGACCUUCAUGACCAGCGUGAUGAUCUCUGGAGGAACUACCACCCACCACAGUUAGUAGGAAGAUUUCUGUGUCCCCAGAGACCUCUCAGGCCCAUGUGUCGACACGGCAUGGCUAAGUUUUAGGCAGCAGGGACUGUGGAUGAGAGGGGAACACACAGAAGAAAGUUCUCCAGGACCAAGGCUGAGCCGUCCCCAUCAGGGCCCGCCAUCCUGUCCCAUCUUGCCUGGCACAUGUGUCUGGUGUGACCAGUUCCUCCGUAUCCCCCUCCCACCCCCCAAGCCCUGCUCACCCAUGUCCUGGCCAAGCCUGGGACCAGACAGCUUAGGGCUUCGAAUCUGCGGGGUCCUUUGUAGCGGGAUUUCCCCAAGG